AAAAUUCCUGGGAUUCCCGGGGGUGCUGAGGGAUUCCCGGGGGAUUCCUGGAAUUCCUGGGAAUGCUGAGGGAUUCCUGGGAUUCCUGGGGGUGCUGAGGGAUUCCCGGGGGAUUCCUGGGAUUCCCGGGGGGUUCCCGGAAUUCCAGAGGGUGCUGAGGGAUUCCCAGGGGAUUCCCAGGAAUUCUGAGGGAUUCCUGGAGAAUUCCUGGGAUUCUCGGGAACACUGAGGGAUUCCCAGGAUUCCCGGGGGAUUCCCGGGGGUGCUGAGGGAUUCCCGGAAAAUUCCCGGGAUUCCCGGGGGUGCUGAGGGAUUCCCGGGAGAUUCCCAGAAUUCCUGAUGGUGCUGAGGGGUUCCCAGGGGAUUCCUGGAAUUCCCCAGGGGUUUCCCAUGGAAUUCCCGAGGGAUUCCCGGAAUUCCCAGGGGUUUCCUGGAAUUCCCAGGGGUGCUGAGGCAUUCCCGGGGGUUUCCCGGAAUUCCCAGGGGUUUCCUGGAAUUCCCGAUGUUGUUGAGGGAUUCCCAGAGGAUUCCCAGAAUUCCCGGGGGUGCUGAGGGAUUCCUGGAGAGUUCCCGUGGGAUUCCCGUGAUUUCCCGUGGGAUUCCUGGAAUUCCCAGGGGUUUCCCGGGAUUCCCGUGGAAUUCCCAUGGAAUUCCCAGAAUUCCCAGAAUUCCCAAGGGUGCUGAGGGAUUCCUGUGGGAUUCCUGGAAUUCCUGAGGGUGCUGAGGGGUUCCCAGGGGUGCUGAGGGAUUCCCGGGGGGUUUCCCGGAAUUCCCGAGGGAUUCCCAGAAUUCCCAAGUGUGCUGAAGGAUUCUCAGGGGAUUCCCGGAAUUCCCAGGGGUUUCCCGGGAUUCCCGUGGAAUUCCCGUGGUUUUCCCAUGGAAUUCCUGUGGGAUUCCCGGUAUUCCCAGGGAUUUCUGAGGGUGCUGGGGGAUUCCCGGAAUUCCCAGGGGAUUCCCGGGGGAUUCCCGUGGUUUCCCAGGGGAUUCCCAUAAUUCCCAUGGGAUUCCCGCAGGAUUCCCGUGCUUUCCCCCUGGAAUUCCCGGGGGAUUCCCGGGAUUUCCCAGGGGUUUCCUGGAAUUCCCAUGUGUUUCCUGCAGGAUUCCCGUGGGUUUCCCGCAGGAUUCCCGUGGUUUCCCCCUGGGUUUCCCGGGGGAUUCCCGUGGUUUCCCCCUGGGUUUCCCGCGGGAUUCCCGGCAUUCCGGGCUCACUUCUGGAAGUUCUGGAGCGGGUAGUGCUCCCCGUAGGUCUCCAGGUGCCGCUGCAGCUCCUCCCGCUGCCGCCGCAGCCGCGGGGGCAUCUCCCGGUAAACGUCGGAGAAGAGCAGGUGGGGAGGGGGCUUCGGCUCCCGCUCCGCCUGCUCGAACGCCUCCAGCACCUGCGGGAGCGCCGGACACAAUUCCCGCUUUUCCGGCCCCAAAUUCCCGCUUUUCCGGCCUCAAAUUCCCGCUUUUCCAGCCCCAAAUUCCCGCUUUUCCAGCCCCAAAUUCCCGCUUUUACGGCCCCAAAUUCCAGCUUUUCCGGCCCCAAAUUCCCGCUUUUACAGCCCCCAAUUCCCGCUUUUCCAGCCUUUUCCAGCCCAAAAUUACAGCCUUUCCAGCCCCAAAUUCCGGCUCUUCCCAACCCAAAAUUCCGGCUUUUUCAGCUCCAAAUUCCGGCUUUUCCAGCCCCCAAUUCCAGCUUUUACAACCCAAAUUCCAGCCUUUUACAGCCCCCAAUUCCAGCCUUUUCCAGCCCCAAAUUCUGGCUUUUCCACCCCCAAAUUCUGGCUUUUCCAGCUCAAAAUUCCAGCUUUUCCAGCCCCCAAUUCCAGCCUUUUCCAGCCCCAAAUUCCCGCUUUUCCACCCCCAAAUUCCGGCUUUUCCGGCUCGAAAUUCCAGCUUUUCUGGCCCCCAAUUCCAGCUUUUCCAGCCUUUUCCAGCCCCAAAUUCUGGCUUUUCCGGCUCAAAAUUCCAGCUUUUCCGGCCCCAAAUUCCGGCUUUUCCAGCCCCAAAUUCCAGCUUUUACAGCCCCAAAUUCCCGCUUUUCCGGCCCCAAAUUCCCGCUUUUCCAGCCCCCAAUUCCCGCUUUUCCAGCCUUUUCCAGCCCAAAAUUACAGCUUUCACAGCCCCAAAUUCCGGCUUUUCCCAGCCCAAAAUUCCGGCUUUUUCAGCUCCAAAUUCCGGCUUUUCCAGACCCCAAUUCCAGCUUUUACAACCCAAAUUCCAGCCUUUUACAGCCCCCAAUUCCAGCCUUUUACAGCCCCAAAUUCUGGCUUUUCCAGCCCCCAAUUCCGGCUUUUCCAGCCCCAAAUUCCAGCCCCAAUUCCAGCUUUUCCGGCUCAAAAUUCUGGCUUUUUCAGCCCGAAAUUCCAGCUCUUUCCAGCCCCCAAUUCUGGCUUUUCCCAGCCCCAAAUUCCGGCUUUUCCAGCCCAAAAUUCCGGCUUUUACAACCCAAAAUUCCAGCCUUUUCCAGCCCCAAAUUCCAGCUUUUCCCAGCCCAAAAUUCCAUCUUUUCCAGCCUGAAAUUCCAGCUUUUCCAGCCUGAAAUUCCAGCUUUUCCAGCCUGAAAUUCCAGCUUUUCCAGCCUGAAAUUCCAGCUUUUCCAGCCUUUUCCAGGCCCAAUUCUGGCUUUUCUGGCUCCAAAUUCCGCCUUUUCCAGCCCCCAAUUCCGGCUUUUCCAGCCUUUUCCAGCCCAAAAUUCCAGCUUUUUCAGCCCCAAAUUCCCGCUUUUCCAGCCUCUUCCAGCCCCCAAUUCUGCCUUUUCCAGCCUCAAAUUCCCCAGGCAUUUCCCACCCCAAAUCCCGAAUAUUUCAAACCCCAAAUCCCAAAUAUUCCAAAAACCCCGAAUAUUUCAAACCCCAAAUCCCAAAUAUUCCAAACCCUGAAUAUUUCAAACCCCAAAUCCUAAAUAUUCCAAACCCUGAAUAUUUCAAACCCCAAACCCCAAAUAUUCCAAACCCUGAAUAUUUCCCACCCCAAACCCCAAAUAUUUCCCAGCCCAAAUCCUGAAUAUUCCAAACCCCGAAUAUUUCAAACCCCAAACCCCAAAUAUUCCAAACCCUGAAUAUUUCAAACCCCAAACCCCAAAUAUUCCAAACCCUGAAUAUUUCCCACCCCAAACCCCAAAUAUUCCAAACCCCAAACCCCAAAUAUUUCACAAACCCCGAAUAUUUCAAACCCAGGAUAUUUCCCACCCCAAACCCUGAACAUUUCCCACCCCAAACCCCAAAUAUUU
ensembl:lncRNA